rnacentral:rRNA from 1 species
UACGUAGGGUGCGAGCGUUGUCCGGAAUUAUUGGGCGUAAAGAGCUUGUAGGCGGUUUGUCGCGUCUGCUGUGAAAUCUCAAGGCUCAACCUUGAGCUUGCAGUGGGUACGGGCAGACUAGAGUGUGGUAGGGGAGACUGGAAUUCCUGGUGUAGCGGUGAAAUGCGCAGAUAUCAGGAAGAACACCCGUGGCGAAGGCGGUUCUCUGGGACGGUACUGACGCUGAGACGCGAAAGCGUGGGGAGCGAACAGG